GAAACUGAGGCUGGGGAGAUUAAUAAAUGGCACAUAGUCACAGAGCAACUCUGUUUCCAGGGGAACUACCAAUCACAGCCACUUCUGGAUGGUUCACUUCCAAAGUACUCUGCCUACAGGAGGAGCGCGGGUGCCUGAAAUCCACAGAGGUGGACGGCUCAUUAC
rnacentral:lncRNA from 1 species